CGCCAAGGGAAAGAGGCAGAGAAAGAAAAGCAGCGAGGGGAAUGGCAGAACAGGGAAGGACAGGAAAAGUGAGAGGAGGUGGCUUGCAUCCUCUAGAUCAUCUCCCCAGGUCGCUGCAGGUUUCUCCUUGGAGCCGGACAGACAGCAGCAUCACGAAGACCCCAGCAAGGUCCCUGAUCGCUUCCACGGGCUGGGCUCCCCAGCUCCAGAGUAUGCUGAGUUCUGGGAGCUGGGGCUGAGUUGUCAGCAGGACUCGGUGCAGCUGACCCGUGUGUGCCCACAAUCCCAGGGAAUAGGCCACGGCCAGCUUUGCAGACGGCUACAGAAACGCCAUGGAGGAAACCACCAGUACGGGUGUGAGUGGAGGUCUCUCCCCCAUCGCUGGAGCACGGGACACGGUGCCUGAGGUGACUUCAACACAAAGUUCGAGUUUAAAUGUGGUGUCGGUGAUUGAGCAGCGUCAGAAUUUGAGAAUCCUCCUGUCCCCACUCCUGUUCAAUUAAGAAAACACACCCAAAUUCAUGAACUUUGUGGCCCACUCCUUGACACAUCCUAUGUGCCAAUUUUUUGUCCCACACCAGGAUAUGCUCCAACGGUUCAACACGGGAAUGUACCACACUGAGGCAACAGAGACCAAGGAGGAUGGAAAGAGGGAGAAUGACCUUUUUAAAGAAUGGAAAGACCCCGAGAUCUGGGAAUGUCUGACGCCUCGCUGCCUGGAGUCCCAGAAGACAACAGCCACUCCAACUGGAUGGACAUUGGGCACCUAGCAACUAACGACCAUGGAUGCCAGCAGGGUGUGACCAGCAGGGGAACAAGGACAAAGGAUGGAGGCGGGGCCGGGUGGGGUUGCUAAAUGGAGGGCUGCUGGAAGUGGCGGAGACACUCCUGGACUGGGAUUAAAGAGGGGUCGGAGGGCUCUGGGCCGGAUGCAGAUGCUCUAUGCUGUAACUUUCUGUUCCCUGUGUUAACCAAGACUGUCUACGCUGUGUUCCAGACAUCUAAUAAACCCUGUUGCUGUUACA